rnacentral:lncRNA from 1 species
ACAAGCAAUAUAAAUUAAGAAGUGUAGAAUAUACCUUGAUGGUACCUUGCUGAAAAUUUUUAGCACUUGAGAUCUUUAACUUCUCAUUCUUGGAACCACUUCCUCACCAUUGUGGCUCUGAUACUAACUAUUGGAGUAUGAUCCUGGGUCCUCCCAUGGACCUUGGGUGCAGCGGAACCAGCAACGAACAAAUCUGGAGACUUCUGGACUCGAUCGAAGGCCCUUGACGAAAUCAGCCUGGUUGCUGUCUUCUUCGUCAGCCUUUCGUU